GAUGAACGCUGGCGGCGUGCCUAAUACAUGCAAGUAGAACGCUGAAGGAGGAGCUUGCUCUUCUGGAUGAGUUGCGAACGGGUGAGUAACGCGUAGGUAACCUGCCUGGUAGCGGGGGAUAACUAUUGGAAACGAUAGCUAAUACCGCAUGACAACAGUUAUUGCAUGAUAACUGUUUAAAAGGGGCAACUGCUCCACUACCAGAUGGACCUGCGUUGUAUUAGCUAGUUGGUGAGGUAACGGCUCACCAAGGCGACGAUACAUAGCCGGCCUGAGAGGGGGAUCGGCCACACUUGGACUGGGACACGGCCCAGACUCCUUCGGGAGGCAGCAGUAGGGAAUCUUCGGCAAUGGACGGAAGUCUGACCGAGCAACGCCGCGUGAGUGAAGGAGGUUUUCGGAUCGUAAAGCUCUGUUGUAAGAGAAGAACGAGUGUGAGAGUGGAAAGUUCACACUGUGACGGUAUCUUACCAGAAAGGGACGGCUAACUACGUG
rnacentral:rRNA from 1 species